CAAACAAAUCCCAUCCUCCUGCCCCCAUCCCCUGCCAUGGCUUCUCUAAAAGGAAAAAAUCUCCGGCAUUGGCGACGCCGGCGGCGCUAGGUGACCAGAGCCAGCCACCGACGCUUCUCCCUGUUCACGCCCUUCGUCCCACGCGGUAUGGUCCUAAUUUUGGGUGGCUACACCCGUUCAGAUAUCAUUGAAGGAGAAAUCGCCAUAGGUUUUCUCCGCUCUACGUGGUUCGCGCAAACAGUUGGUUGCUGACGAACUCAUUGCGAUUCAGGGUAGAUAAUGACCACUUCCCUUGUCUGAUUUUUAUGUUUUUCUAUCCAGCUGUUGCAAAUCUCAGUCCGAUUUAUUUAUGUAAAUAUAUGGUGCCUGAAGAUUCAAUCAUAUCCGAGCCUGGCUGAAAUGUCUGAACCACUAAGGGCUACAGUGUUCGAUGCUAGUAGCAUACUAUAGUAUGGAUAAGCAUUUGCAGUCCUAUGAAGAUGUUAGAUGGUAUAUUAUGCUAUGUAACAUGUACCAUAUAUCCUUGGGUGAAGCAAUCAAGCAAUUUUCUUCACAGGCUUCCAGGUGUUCUGACAUUCUAGACUUGUUUCAGGAGAUAAGUAUUUAGCCCUAGCUAUUUAUAGUUUGAAUUCAUCUAUUUGGCUAUUGAGAUUCACAUCUAAUCAAUGUCAAGUAAUUUCUAACAUAUGGUUUACAUCGUAGUGAUUUGAUGUAUGCAAUAAUUCCAUUAUGUUAGAAAUGGAAGAUAGUCCAUCGCAAUUUCUUUCCUUCAGGUUCAGAAUUACGAGCAUAACCUCAUUAUCUAGAUGCAGACGUUCCCUCUGAAUUAUCCAGCUUCCUUAGAGUAGACAAAAUAGUCACACUGUUGUAGAAGGUACUCCCUCUGUAAAGAAAUUUAAGAUCGUUUAGAUCACUAAAGUAGUGAUCUAAGCGAUCUUAUAUUUCUUUACAGAGGGAGUACUAUUGAACAUUUGAGCAAGAAGAUGUCAUCGCUGAAUAUGCAGUUUCCAACACUUUCACUAUUCUUCUUCAACAAGGUCAGGUUAUAACAAAUUGCAAUAAGUGAUUAUUUCAGAAGCUCGGAAUACAAAGGAUCUUGUUUGUAUUGCAUAGAAUGGGACCGAGUAUCUGCUCUGGUGUGGCUAGCUGAGAAUGUGUGCUCGCGGCCCACCUUCCUAUGUUCGAGGCACAGCCUUCCUCAGAGUGCCUGCUCAGGCUCUUCUUCAUCUUCAAGAAACGCCACCCGGAGAUAGUCCCUGGUUGGUCUAGCAUUGCAUAAAACCUAAUGAGAUUCGAAACAAAGCUAAUCAUUAGUCGGUUGGAGUAAAUUCGUACAGAUCAACAGAUGACAUAGUAUGUUCACUCUUUGAGAGCCUAAGUCAUAUUAAUUUACCCUAUAUCAAUGCUGAGCUUAGAACUUCGACUUUCCCUUAUGCUGCUUGGAGUUUUGGUCUUGCGAUAAAGAAUUUUUCUUGUUUUUUUUCUUUUGAAAUUGAGCAUUACACAGCCGUGUUUCAUGCAUCAUCAUGCUUGCUUAAAAAUAUAUAUUCUUACAACAGUGAAACUUCCUGCUCUUAAAGUUGUUUGCAUAGUUGAUAUGUCUAAAAGUUUCUAAAUGAUCACUUGAUCAUGGUUUUCAUUUUAAUAGUUUAUUUUGGUACUAUUAUGUGAAUGUAGUUCAAGAACAUAAAUAUGGCUUGGCGUAACUGCAAAUUGGGCAGCUUUUCCAGUGUAUGGGUGAAAGGUCGAGCCUUUACUGAGGUCCAUAACACUGUAUCUUCCAUCAGGACAGUCAAUCAGCGCUAUCAUGGAUGUUUUCGUCCUUUGCAUACACAUGCUGAAGUACUUUUUGUUGGCAGAUGGAAAGGAUCCAUGAACCAUGAUGCCAGAAUUAUCUUACGGACGAUUCUUAACCUCUCUUUUCCUGUUACUAUAUGUUAGAGAUGUUUAAAAUCCCUGCUUUUGAAGUAGAUGCAGCACCUAAGAAAGGUGAAGGCGUGAUGACCUUGGACCCCACUCAAACAGGGACCAUCCAUAGUCUACAUGUAAUAGCAUGUUUGGGCUGCCCUGCAAUAUCUGAAUGCUUCUGGGAUGGGGUAGAGCAACAGGUGCCUGGUGGCCAGAGAAUGAGCAAAGGAAAACAACACCCUGCCUUCUUAGAUAUCUAGGCUGGCAUGCAAAUGCUGAUGAUAUCCUUUCGACCGAAGGGGCCUACUCCUUUGGGAUUCUUAAGAUUCAAGUAUCCUUAACUGGUCACCCCAAUUAUAUGAAACGAAGAAAAGGAGUAGGAAAGAACACACAACACACACCCGGAGAACGAGGUAGGGCAGAAAGGUAGGACUCUCAUCUAAGGUUUGCCUUAAUGGCCCAAGAAUUGCCCACCACUGCUAAUGUGAGGUGGAAUUUGCUGGACCAUCAAUUGAGCCAGCCCAAUUAGGUCUCCACAUGCAUGAGUGGGUGAUCAUGUGUCAAGUUUAUGCAGGUUAGCAUGCACUUUGUCCGUUGGAAACGAUGUAUCAUUAG